rnacentral:rRNA from 1 species
UAGGAAAUCUUCGGCAAUGGACGAAAGUCUGACCGAGCAACGCCGCGUGAGUGAAGAAGGUUUUCGGAUCGUAAAACUCUGUUGUUAGAGAAGAACAAGGACGUUAGUAACUGAACGUCCCCUGACGGUAUCUAACCAGAAAGCCACGGCUAACUACGUGCCAGCAGCCGCGGUAAUACGUAGGUGGCAAGCGUUGUCCGGAUUUAUUGGGCGUAAAGCGAGCGCAGGCGGUUUCUUAAGUCUGAUGUGAAAGCCCCCGGCUCAACCGGGGAGGGUCAUUGGAAACUGGGAGACUUGGGUGCAGAAGAGGAGAGUGGAAUUCCAUGUGUAGCGGUGAAAUGCGUAGAUAUAUGGAGGAACACCAGUGGCGAAGGCGGCUCUCUGGUCAGUAACUGACGCUGAGGCUCGAAAGCGUGGGGAGCAAACAGG